GACGAACGCUGGCGGCGUGCUUAACACAUGCAAGUCGAGCGGAAAGGCCCUUCGGGGUACUCGAGCGGCGAACGGGUGAGUAACACGUGAGCAACCUGCCCUAGGCUUUGGGAUAACCCUCGGAAACGGGGGCUAAUACCGGAUAGGACCUCCUGCCGCAUGGUGGGGGGUGGAAAGUUUUUCGGCCUGGGAUGGGCUCGCGGCCUAUCAGCUUGUUGGUGGGGUGAUGGCCUACCAAGGCGACGACGGGUAGCCGGCCUGAGAGGGCGACCGGCCACACUGGGACUGAGACACGGCCCAGACUCCUACGGGAGGCAGCAGUGGGGAAUAUUGCACAAUGGGCGGAAGCCUGAUGCAGCGACGCCGCGUGAGGGAUGACGGCCUUCGGGUUGUAAACCUCUUUCAGCAGGGACGAAGCGUAAGUGACGGUACCUGCAGAAGAAGCGCCGGCCAACUACGUGCCAGCCGCCGCCGUAAGAC
rnacentral:rRNA from 1 species